UACGGAGGGGGCGAGCGUUAUUCGGAAUUAUUGGGCGUAAAGGGCGCGUGAGGCGUGAACAAGUCAAAGGUGAAAUCCCUCGGCUCAACUGAGGAACUGCCUUUGAAACUGUUCGGCUUGAGGCCGGGAGGGGGUAGCGGAAUUCCCAGUGUAGCGGUGAAAUGCGUAGAUAUUGGGAGGAACACCAGUGGCGAAGGCGGCUACCUGGACCGGUUCUGACGCUGAGGCGCGAAAGCGUGGGUAGCAAACAGG
rnacentral:rRNA from 1 species